GAUGAACGCUAGCGGCGUGGAUAAGGCAUGCAAGUCGAACGGUUCGCUUCGGCGAAUAGUGGCAAACGGGUUAGUAACACGUAGAUACACACCCUCUACACAGGCAUAAUCCCGCGAAAGCGGGACUAAUUCCUGAUGGUCCUUGCCUUCGGGUAAGGUAAAGGUUCCCCGCCUAGCGGGGUUCCGGUAGAGGAAUGGUCUGCGGCUUAUCAGCUUGUUGGUGAGGUAAUGGCUCACCAAGGCUAUGACGGGUAGGGGAUAUGAGAGUGUGUUCCCCAACAAGGGCACUGCGACACGGGCCCUACUCCUACGGGAGGCAGCAGUCGAGAAUAUUCGACAAUGGGCGAAAGCCUGAUCGAGCGACGCCGCGUGCUCGAAGAAACCCUUCGGGGUGUAAAGAGCUUUUCUGGAGGAAGAACCUUAGGGUGACGGUACUCCAGGAAUAAGGAGAUGCUAAUCACGUGCCAGCAGCAGCGGUAAUACGUGAUCUCCAAGCGUUAUCCGGAUUUAUUGGGCGUAAAGCGUCCGUAGGCGCACCGCCAGGUUUUCUGUUAAACCCUAGGGCUCAACCUUAGAACUGCAGAAAAAACCGGCGGAGUAGAGGGCGUUAGAGGCUGAUGGAACGGUCGGUGUAGGGGUGAAAUCCGUUGAUAUCGACCGGAACACCAAAAGCGAAGGCAUUCAGCUGGGGCGGCCCCGACGCUGAGGGACGAAAGCGUGGGUAGCAAAAAGGAUUAGAUACCCUUGUAGUCCACGCCGUAAACGAUGGACACUAGCUAUUUGAAGUGUCGACCCUUCAAGUGGCGAAGCUAACGCAUUAAGUGUCCCGCCUGGGAAGUACGACGGCAACGUUAAAACUCAAAGGAAUAGACGGGGCUUCACACAAGCGGUGGAUCAUGUGGCUCAAUUCGACAAUAAGCGAAGAACCUUACCAGGGCUUGACAAACUAGUGAAAUCCCGCCGAAAGGUGGGACUCCCACAAGGCACUAGUUCAGGUGCUGCAUGGUUGUCGUCAGCAUGUGCUUUGAAGUGCUCCCUUAAAUGGGGUAACAUGCGCAACCCUCGCUCUAUGUUUUACGUGUCAUAGAGAACUGCCCGAGAUAAUUGGGAGGAAGGUGAGGAUGACGCCAAAUCAGCAUGGCCCUUUGACGCCCUGGGCUGCACACAUGAUACAAUGGGACCGACAAUGGGCGAAGCCGCAAGGCGGAGGUAAUCCCAUCAAACGGUUUCUAAGUUCGGAUUGAGGUCUGAAAUUUGACCUCAUGAAGUCGGAAUCGCUAGUAAUCGCCAAUCAGCCACGUGGCGAUGAAUAUGUUCCUGAAGCUUGUACUCACCGCCCGUCACAUUAAGGAAGCCGGCAGUAGCCGAAGUC
rnacentral:rRNA from 1 species